CAUUACAAAUGCACAACGGAUGGAUGGAUGGAUGAGCCUCAGCCAACGAUAGUCCUGUUUAUUUUGUGACUUCAUCAGAUUUUAAAUGCUGAAGAUCAACCAAGAGGAAACUGCGGAUUAUAAUCCAGAGGGAUGAAGAGACGAGGAAAUAAUGAGGAUGAGAAUGAAGGGGCGACGUUGACCUCUGAAGAAAAAGGAGGAAGUUGAGCAGUAUAAGCUGGCGGCAAGAAAAAGGGGAAGUGGACAUAGUAAGUGGACACUUCCGAAAUUCCAUCUUCCCCGUAGUUUUAUUGUCUUCCUCUAAAUUCAGGCCUUCGCUCUUUGGAGUGAAACAAACUAUAUGGGCUAAAAAUAACAGUUUGCGACAUGUGUAAACAUCAAAUUAUCCAAUCCACUUUUUGGAACGACAAGGAGAAGCUGAUCUGCGGACCUCAGUGCCCCUAGAGGGAGUUAUUCAGCUCUAAGAGGUCUGAGAUGUUCUGUGGUGCCGACCCGUUCAAGGACUUCAACAACAAAGAGUCGACUUCCAAAGAUUGAUCCUAAAAUGGACAGGAAGCCAGUGGAGAGAGGCCAGAAUGGGAGCCAUGUUGAAUAAAAACUGGACUUAGUCGCAAGGGACCCAGAUCCAGAGGAGGGGCAUUAAGGGUCCGACUGGGUCCAAACUCAAUGACCUCUGUUUUAUCUUCAUUUAAGUUCAUCCAGUUUUUGGUUUCUUUAAGGCAUUUCAUUAGAGGUGUCAGGGAGCCUUGAUGGUGCCCUUUUAAAGGAAUAUAAAUUGGCAACUCAGGGCCAGUCCAAGCCUUCAAAAUUAGAUUUUGGGGCCCAACAUCUAAUUAUCUAAAUAUCAACGGCAACAAUAAAGCAGUGAUUACGUGAUA